AUAGCCGGUGUUGGCUUAAAUGGGCCAGCAUCCUGCCCUGUGGUGGAAGGUCAUGUUGGACCGAGUUAUGUUCGAAAUGGCGUGAGGCUAGGUGGGCUGAGUCAUGUUCGAAGUGGCGUGAAGCUAUUUGGGCCGAGUCAUAAUCGAGACCCGUGGGUGCUGUAUCUAUACGCUUUAAGUGAAUUAGUUAUGUAUUUCUAACAGCUCGAGUUUUUGGGAUUAAUGGUUAGCGCCAACGAUCCGACAAGUAGUAUCAGAGCCAGAGGUCACAGGUUCGAUUCCCGUCUGUUGCAAAUGUGUGCAGGUGCUGGAAGGGAGGUUGUUGGCUUAAAUAGGCCAGCAUCCUGUCCUGUGGCGGAAGGCUAUGUUGGGUCGAGUCAUGUUCGAAAUGGCGUGAGGCUGAAUGGGCCGAGUCAUGUUCGAAGUGGCGUGAGGCUGGUUCUGUAUGCUUACAAUCGAGACUCAUGGGCGCUGUAUCUAUACGUUUUAAGUGAAUUAGUUGCGUAUUUCUAACAGCUCGAGCUUUUGGGAUUAAUGGUUAGUGCCAACGAUCCAACAGCUGGACUAUAUAUAUUCUUGUAAUUAAGUCUUAUAAUGCAAGUAACAAAUGGCUUUAUGGUUGGUACCAGAGAUUUUCAAGUUCGAAUCAUAAUUAAUUCAUAUUUCUAACUAAGUUUAUUUCUAAAAAGAAAUAAACGAAACAGGUUGGAUGCUACCUUUCUCUUUCUCUCUCAAAAAAGUCUUAUAACUUUAUUUAGUCAACUAAUAAAUUAGGCUGAAAUACUACCAAUAGCACCAAGCUAUCGGUGCUAUUUGGUUUUCGGCUUUUGGAUGAAUGAAUGUACGAUUAGGAUGAUGUAGGCUCUCUAUGGUUGAGUUGAAUAAGUUAUUGGUUGAAUAGUAUAAUCUAACAGAUGAAAAUAGUCAAAAGUGUUAAAUCUAACAAUCGAAAACUUGAUAGCACCAAGCAUUUGGUGUUAUUGAUAGUAUCCCAGCCGGACUCGCCAACUAAAUAUUGAUAUAUUACUAAUGUAGCGAUGAUAUAGUAGUAUUAUAAUUGAUGACGCAUCAUUUAUAUGUUAAUUAUGCGUUAAAAUUUAAUCAAACAAAUUAUAUUGUGAAAUUCGAUUAUAAUAAUUAUAAAAAUUCAAUCUAAAAAUUAUAAUAUAUUAAAGUUUAAGGACUAAAAUAUCAUCUACCUCAUAGUUUG
rnacentral:lncRNA from 1 species